rnacentral:lncRNA from 1 species
GGAAGAUUCCUCUAAGAAAGUUCAGCUAAAGAAAGGGUGUAGGGUGUAUAUGUUGCCUUAUUCUGAAUAUUUGGCCUUAAAAUAAGUUAAUGACCGUAAAUACUUUUAUAGUUAGAGUAAAUGCUAUGUAGUCAAUAGCUUUCCUAAGAAACUGAAAUAUAGAAUAUAACACUUUUCCUAAAGUAAUACUCCAGAAUGCUUGUGAACCUUAACAGAUAUGUCUUUUCUGGAGACUCAACAAAAAAUGCAAAAGUACAAACAAGCAUUUAUUCUGGUCAAUCAAGGACAAAUACAGAGAGAACUAGAAAACACUCCAACAAAGUGACAUCAGCAACAUGGUGGAGUGAGCUGUUCCCUUUGUCUCGACCCCCUUGAACUUCUACUAAAUGGACAUUCAUUGAUCAGCAGAGGAUACCCACGUAGCAUAUGAGGAUGCCUGAGAGACUCACACAGUUAUACAUCUGAAGGUGGAUGGACUACUCCCAGGGAGGUGAUGGAGAGAGGUGAGCACUCUCUGGCCCCCUAGCAGCCCUGUACGUGCGUGCAACUACUCUCCCAGCCAGAGCACCCAUAGCAUCACUGUGGCCCCCAGUGUGGGAGCAUGCCUCAGUGCGACUGUGGGAACAGGUGAUGGCAGCCCUGAGACCCUGGUGAUUGCUUUCUUGUCCGGUGAGAGAGCCCACAGUGCUGUUUCAGUCCUGAGGAGUGGCUCAAGCAGGCUUAGACCCAAUGGGUAGGCCCUCCCCACCAAGCACAACAGCUGGUGUGACCUAGAUAGAGACGGUGGUGGAUCUGUGCACCCAUAUAAAUAAGUUCCAGGCUGCCGAGAACACCCAUAGUGCUGCAGCCCCAAAGGGGGGAGCACUUCUUGGCAGGACUGUGGGAGCAGGUGUCAGCAGCCUUGAACUCCCAUGUGAUUGCUUUCCCAUUCUGUGGGAGAGCCCAUGAGGCUGCUGCAGUCCCAAGGAGUGGCCUAGGCUCAGUCUAUACAGCUGACAGUGAUCACUGUGGGCUCAGAAUACACAGCUCCUGCUCCCCCUGCCCAGUGGCAGCAGAAGGAAUCUGCGACAAGAUACUAUCACUAUGCAAAGGCACAAAUCCACCCCAUCAAAUAAUAUGAAGAAGUAUAUUAACACUCCAG